CAUCACCCAGCUCCCAGCAGCGCUGCUCUCUCGUCUUCUCCGCCCCGCCCCCAGUUCCUUCCACCGCCUACGCGUUGGUGCUCCAGCCAAAGACAGCCACCCCAGCCGCCGUCUGCUCCGGCCUGGGCCAGGAGAGGACGCUGAGGCUGGCGAGGGACGGGGGUCGGGCCGGUGUGCAAGGUAGCUAGGAGGCAAAGUAGGACUUGGUCGCGCCGAGAACGAGCCUCGUGGCUCCCCCCGCCCCUCUCUAUAAACCGCGGGUCCCCUCUCUACACAAAUCGCGGGUCCGUGGAGUGAAUAGCCGGUGGCUGUGGUGUCCAUCCCCUUUCUUCCUCUGCUCUGACGAGCUGCCUUGCUUGGAUCCGUCGAGUGAGGCACCGGUGGCGGCGGUGUCCGACGUGCUCCCGGUCGGUGCCCCUUUCGUCCUCUGCUCUGAGGCCGGGUCCGGGCUUGCCUCUGUUCUUUUGCCAUCCCACAGUCGAUCGCUGCCUCUGCUCCAGCCAUGACAUGACCUGAGUUCCUUCUAUUCUUCUUCUUUGUUUAUUUCCUUUGAUUCUUGAGAAACACUCGCUGGAAUAUCUCACGCAGACGGGCUAAGGCCCAAGUGGCAACGCAUCAGCCACGAACGAUCGCAAGGCAAGGCCCGAGCAAGAGCGUAGACGGAAAAUAUAUAGAUUACUGCAUGUACGGACGCAUAUAGAUAGUACCACCUUGGAUAUUAAGAAAAAUAUCAAAUCAAGAAAAAACGGACAGGAAGAAGCGUAUUAUGACAUGGGAAGAAAGCGCAUUGUGACGGUGAACCCGGAGACUCAAUCGGUGCUUUAUUAUUAGAGAGAGAUUAGCAAGCAUGGUGGAAAUUUCAGCUUC